AUGCAUGUCUUGCCAAAAAUGAGUUGUUUGUGCCACUUUAGCUUUGACCUUUUCCAUUGUCCAUCACAGGAUAAACUGGCAUACUUUCGAAUAAAGGAACUCAAAGAUAUCUUGCAUCAGUUAGGCCUACCAAAGCAAGGAAAGAAGCAGGAUCUUAUUGACAGGGUAUUGGCACUGUUAUCAGAUGAGCAAGGUCAAAGGCAUCAUGGGUGGGGAAGAAAAAAUUCGUUCACAAAGGAGGCAGUGGCAAAAAUUAUCGAUGAUAUAUACAGGAAAAUGCAAAUCCAAUCUGCUCCCGAUCUAGCCACUAGGUCCCACACUGGAUCAGAUUUAUUCCGGCCUAAAGAUGAAGUCAACGACUCCUUCCAGCCACAGCCAGUGACUAAGGUCCGCUGCAUUUGUGAUAGCAAGUUGCUAAACGAUAAUAUGAUCCAGUGUGAGGAUGAUCGAUGCCAUGUGUGGCAACAUAUGAGUUGUGUGCUCGUUCCAGAUAAGCCCACUGAGGGUGUUGGCCCUGAAGUUCCACCCCAUUUCUACUGUGAAUUAUGCCGACUAAGUCGGGCAGACCCGUUUUGGGUCACUACAGGGAAUCCAUUACCCCCUCUGAAAUUCAUGUCAUCUGGUGUUGCAAAUGAUGGAACAAGUGUACUGCAAACCGUGGAGAAAACCUUCCAACUUUCUCGAGCGGAUAGGGAAACAGUUCAGAGAUCAGAAUAUGAUCUCCAGGUUUGGUGCAUUCUUAUGAAUGAUAAAGUUCAGUUCAGGAUGCAGUGGCCCCAAUAUGCAGAAUUGGAAGUGAAUGGUUUUGCUGUACGAGUAGUGACCAGACCUGGUUCUCAGUUGCUAGGCAUAAAUGGACGGGAUGAUGGGCCAUUGAUAACCACAUGCAGUAGAGAAGGAACUAACAAGAUCUGCUUACGAAGGGUUGAUAAUCGAACAUUUUGCUUUGGAGUCCGAGUUGCUAGGAGGAGAAGUGUUCCUCAGGUUUUAAAUUUAGUUCCAAAGGAAGCUGAAGGUGAGUCUUUUGAGGAUGCUCUUACUCGUGUUCGGCGCUGUCUCGGAGGUGGAGACACUGCAGAGAACGCUGAUAGUGACAGUGAUUUGGAAGUGGUUACUGAAUCUGUUACAGUCAACCUUCGUUGCCCUAAUAGUGGAUCCAGAAUGAAGACUGCUGGAAGGUUCAAGCCUUGCGUUCACAUGGGUUGUUUUGAUCUCGACACCUUCGUGGAACUGAAUCAGCGGUCCCGCAAGUGGCAGUGUCCAAUAUGUUUAAAGAACUACUCUCUUGAGAAUUUGAUGAUUGAUCCUUACUUCAAUCGGAUUACUUCUCUGUUGCGUGAUUGUAGUGAAGAUGUCAAUGAGAUUGAUAUUAAGCCAGAUGGAUCUUGGCGUAUAAAGGGUGAUGUACCAACUAGGGAAUUAUCUCAGUGGCAUAUGCCUGAUGGCACGCUCUGUAUCUCAAAGGAAGAUAACAAACCUGGUGUUGAGAAUUUUAAUGAACUCAAGAUAGAAGGUAGUUCUGAUGGCCAUAAGAGUUUAAAAAUUGGAAUCAAAAGAAAAAAUGGAAUCUGGGAAGUUAGUAACAAAGCAGAUGACAAGAAGCCUUCUGUUGUAGGAAAUAUCACCCAGAACAAUAUUACUUUCCGAACUCCAAACACUUUCCCUAUGAGCAGUAGUCCCACUGGGAGUUAUAGAGAUGGGGAAGACACAAGUGUGAACCAGGAGGGCAGUAUGCAUAUUGAUUUAUCAUUGAACAAUGGUCAUGAGUUUGAAAGUUUUCCUCUCAAUUUCGGCCAAACAUAUAACACAGAGGAUACAUCACAGCAACAACUUAGUGCUGGAGAUGUCAUUGUUCUUAGUGAUUCUGAUGAAGAGAAUGACACAGUUGUUUGCCCACCAACGGUCUACGACAAUACUACUGUAAAUGGCGGUGGUUUUCCUUUUGCCACUAGUGGUGCUGGAUUUACUGGAAGAUACCAGGAAGAUGCUGGCGUCGGUACUAGUGGACUUGGUUUAUUAAGCAACAAUGCUGAUGAUUUUGAGAUGACUAAUUGGCAAAUGCCCUAUUCCCAACCGGAGCAAGGCUACCAGUUUUUCGGGGAUGGCACCGCCGAUACUUAUGUUGGUUCGCACAAUUCCUUUAGCAUUACACCAAACGACUAUUCCCUUGAUUGUAAUGUUGGCAUAGAGGAGGCUUCUGUAGCUCAUGACCUUCCAGUUUACCGCAGUAAUAAUGAAAUGCAUGGAAGUUUGGUUGAUAACCCAUUGGCUUUCGGUGGUGAUGAUCCUUCUUUGCAAAUUUUUCUUCCAAGUCAGCCUUCUUCUGCUCCCCUUCAGGAAGAACCAAGUGAGCGUGUAAAUGCAUCAAAUGGGUUUCAGUCUGAUGAUUGGAUCUCUCUUACGCUCGCAGCCGGUGGAGGUGGUAAUGAAGAGCCUGCAGUUGCUAAUGGUUUAAAUUUGCAAGAACAAAUACGGGCAAAUGAGACAGGAGUGGAACCAUUAACUGAUGCUGCUUCUGUCCUUCCAAGCACAAACAAUGACAGAGAUGACGGAGCUAAUUUAAAUCCAAGAAGGAUUGAGAAUAUAUUUUCUCAUCCUCGCCAGCCUCGGUCUCGGUCGGUCAGGCCUCGACUUUGUUUAUCAAUAGAUUCUGACUCUGAGUAG
rnacentral:rRNA from 1 species